AUUGAACGCUGGCGGCAUGCUUUACACAUGCAAGUCGAACGGUAACAGCACUUCGGUGGCUGACGAGUGGCGAACGGGUGAGUAAUACAUCGGAACGUGCCUAGUAGUGGGGGAUAACUACUCGAAAGAGUAGCUAAUACCGCAUGAGAUCUAAGGAUGAAAGCAGGGGACCUUCGGGCCUUGCGCUACUAGAGCGGCUGAUGGCGGAUUAGGUAGUUGGUGGGAUAAAAGCUUACCAAGCCGACGAUCUGUAGCUGGUCUGAGAGGACGACCAGCCACACUGGGACUGAGACACGGCCCAGACUCCUACGGGAGGCAGCAGUGGGGAAUUUUGGACAAUGGGCGCAAGCCUGAUCCAGCAAUGCCGCGUGCAGGAUGAAGGCCUUCGGGUUGUAAACUGCUUUUGUUCGGAACGAAAAGCCCUCUUCUAAUACAGGAGGGUCAUGACGGUACCGUAAGAAUAAGCACCGGCUAACUACGUG
rnacentral:rRNA from 1 species